rnacentral:rRNA from 1 species
GACAGAGGAUGCAAGCGUUGUCCGGAAUCAUUGGGCGUAAAGAGCGUGUAGGCGGCCAUUCAGGUCAGCUGUGAAAACUCGAGGCUCAACCUCGAGACGUCGGUUGAAACCGUUUGGCUAGAGUCCGGAAGAGGAGAGUGGAAUUCCCGGUGUAGCGGUGAAAUGCGCAGAUAUCGGGAAGAACACCGGUGGCGAAGGCGGGUCUCUGGGCCGUAACUGACGCUGAGGAGCGAAAGCGUGGGGAGCGAACAGG